rnacentral:rRNA from 1 species
GAUGAACGCUGGCGGCGUGCCUAAUACAUGCAAGUCGAGCGAACGGACGAGAAGCUUGCUUCUCUGAUGUUAGCGGCGGACGGGUGAGUAACACGUGGAUAACCUACCUAUAAGACUGGGAUAACUUCGGGAAACCGGAGCUAAUACCGGAUAAUAUUUUGAACCGCAUGGUUCAAAAGUGAAAGACGGUCUUGCUGUCACUUAUAGAUGGAUCCGCGCUGCAUUAGCUAGUUGGUAAGGUAACGGCUUACCAAGGCUACGAUGCAUAGCCGAACUGAGAGGGUGAUAGGCGACACUGGAACGGAGCCACGGUCAUGAGUCCUACGGGAGGCAGCAGUAGGGAAUCUUCGGCAAUGGGCGAGAGCCUGACGGAGCGACGCGGCGUGAGUUAUGAAGAUGUUGGGAGCGUAAUACUCUGUUAUUAGGGAAGAACAUCUGUGUAAGUAACUGUGCACAUCUUGACGGUACCUAGUCAGAAAGCCACGGCUAACUACGUG